GAGGACAGGAGAGGUAGAUGGAAUUGCCGGUGUAGCGGUAAAAUGUGUUAAUAUCGGCAAGAACACCAAAUGCGAAGGCUUUCUACUAGAAUGUUCCUGACGCUCAGAGACGAAAGCGUGGGUAGCGAAUGGGAUUAGAUACCCCAGUAGUCCACGCCGUAAACGAUGAAUGCUUGACAUUGGGAGUUUCGACCCUUUCAGUGUCGUUUAACUAAGCUAACGCAUUAAGCAUUCCGCCUGGGUAGUACGAGCGCAAGCUUAAAACUCAAAGGAAUUGACGGGGACCCGCACAAGCGGUGGAGCAUGUGGUUUAAUUCGACAAUAAGCGAGGAACCUUACCAGGGCUUGACAUGAUACUGCAAAUCUUUCGAAAGAAAGACUCCUUCGAGGGUGUAUCACAGGUGCUGCAUGGUUGUCGUCAGCUCGUGUCGUGAGAUGUACCGUUAAGUCGGGUAACGAGCGCAACCCCUACUCUGUGUUAAAUCAUUCUCAGAGAACUGCCUGCUCAUCGCAGGAGGAAGGCGGGGACGACGUCAAAUCAGCAUGGCUCUUACGCCCUGGGCGACACACGUGCUACAAUGGCCAGCACAAAGGGCCGCCAAAUCGAAAGAUGGAGCAAAUCCCAUAAAACUGGUCUAAGUUCGAAUUGAGGUCUGCAACUCGACCUCAUGAAGUUGGAAUCGCUAGUAACCGUGUAUCAGCCACGACGCGGUGAAUACGUUCUCGGGUCUUGUACACACCGCCCGUCACGUCAAGGGAGUUGAUAGCACCCAAAUGCCGUUGUAGGAUGGCAAAAGGUGAGAUCAGCAACAGGGACGAAGUCGUAACAAGGUA
rnacentral:rRNA from 1 species